rnacentral:rRNA from 1 species
AACGUAGGAGGCGAGCGUUAUCCGGAUUUACUGGGUGUAAAGCGCGUGUAGGCGGUCCUGCAAGUGGCGCGUGAAAGCGCCCGGCUCAACCGGGCGAGGACGUGACCGAACUGCGGGGCUAGAGGCAGGUAGAGGCGUGUGGAAUUCCGGGUGUAGUGGUGAAAUGCGUAGAGAUCCGGAGGAACACCAGUGGCGAAGGCGACACGCUGGGCCUGACCUGACGCUGAGAGGCGAAAGCAUGGGGAGCGAACGGG